AAGUUAUUGUAACUCAUUUUCUUGGAGUUGAUCAUGUAGGU
rnacentral:sRNA from 1 species